rnacentral:tRNA from 1 species
GGAAGUCACCCGGCCGGAUGAGGACACUGUCUUGAAAACAGCUGCGGCUAAUCACCGUUGUGGGUUCGAGUCCCACGGCUUCCG